rnacentral:rRNA from 1 species
UACGUAGGGUGCGAGCGUUGUCCGGAAUUAUUGGGCGUAAAGAGCUCGUAGGCGGUCUGUCGCGUCGAAUGUGAAAACCCGGGGCUCAACUCCGGGCUUGCAUUCGAUACGGGCAGGCUAGAGUUCGGUAGGGGAGUCUGGAAUUCCUGGUGUAGCGGUGAAAUGCGCAGAUAUCAGGAGGAACACCGGUGGCGAAGGCGGGACUCUGGGCCGAUACUGACGCUGAGGAGCGAAAGCGUGGGGAGCAAAAGGG